rnacentral:rRNA from 1 species
CCUACGGGGGGCAGCAGUGAGGAAUAUUGGUCAAUGGCCGGAAGGCUGAACCAGCCAUGCCGCGUGAAGGUCAGUGCCCUAUGGGCGUUAAACUUCUUUUGUGCGGGAGCAAUAAUGGUCACGUGUGGCCAGACGAGAGUACCGUACGAAUAAGCAUCGGCUAACUCCGUGCCAGCAGCCGCGGUAAUACGGGGGAUGCAAGCGUUAUCCGGAUUUAUUGGGUUUAAAGGGUGCGUAGGCUGUGAGGUAAGUCAGCGGGGAAAUGCCCCCGCUCAACGGGGUGAAGUGCCAUUGAUACUGCCUUGCUGGAGUGCGGAUGACGUGGGAGGAAUGUGUGGUGUAGCGGUGAAAUGCAUAGAUAUCACGCAGAACACCGAUUGCGAAGGCAUCUCACGAAUCCGCGAUUGACGCUGAUGCACGAAAGCGUGGGUAUCAAACAGGAUUAGAUACCCUGGUAGUC